GAGAGAGGCAUGAAAGCAACGAUGACUGCUAACUUUCGCCCCCUUGGUUAAACUCCAGGGCUCUCUCG
rnacentral:tRNA from 1 species